AGCUCAGACCAACUAAAUAAGAAUCUGUGGAGGUAUCAGUAUUUAAAAUCUAAUCAGGUGAUUUCAAUGGGUAGAUAAUCCUGAGAACCACUAUGAGGGCUUUCUGAUCCUUAUGAAAUCUUUCUAAGAAUAAAAAUAUCAUCGGAUCAUUAUGCUCCCAGAAGAAUUCACUUUGUAUAAAAGUCAAAACCUUAAGACACAGGAACAAAUCACUAAAUACUCUUGGGAAAGAACUCAAUGCGGGCAGAGUAGCCUUCUCUUAACCACCCCGGUCUAAACUUCCUGUGAUCAUGCAAAUGUCUGAUCUCAUCUCUUUCUCUGUUAAGCCUAAAAUAACUUAUCCAUUUAGAGAUCUCUGUGCUGGAGGAAAAUGUCUUUCAGUGAAGUGUGUGCCUGGGUUUGGCCUCCCCAGUUCGUGCCCUGCAGCCAAACAUCAGGACAUGAAGAAGGAUGCCAGGACACAGGGGUUUGUUGUUUCAGACUUUUUUUGCUUUUGAAUCUGACUCUGAACUCAGACCCAGCUAAUGCUUCCCUCUCUAUUCCCCUCCACCCCCCCCAUCUGUUUAUUUCCCUGGGGAAUGUGCUGACAGCCUGCCCUUUGGUGCUGAAUUCCCAGAGGCUGGGCAUUUGGGUGAGGAAUUCCAGAAGUGGGCAGUGGCUGGUUCUGCCCCCACCUGCUAGUUCACAGCUGGCUUCCCACUAGGGACAGAGAUUCUUCCAGAGUCCUGGUCCUCAUUUUCUCCCUCCUGAUUGCCAGAGGUGGUGGUGAAGUCUUGGCCUUAGGUCAACUCCGACUGGGAGCAGGUCCCUCCUAGGGAUGUUCCAUCAGAAAACUUCCAGGAAUGAAGGAAAAUGUGGGAGAAGGAAGCCAAAAGAUCAGGAGAAAAGAGCCAGGAAUGUCUAGGUGGAGAUGGAGAUCUCCAGGAGUAAGGAGAGGCUUAUACCUGAUGAUGCACCACUGCAACUGGAGUCUGCUGGUCUGGAAGCUUCUUGACCCACUGGAGAGAUACUUCCACUGAAGGACAUGAUAAAAUCCUACAGAACUGGGACUGCCACUGGUGACGUAAUAAGUGCUGAGGCUCCAGGGUCUUGGCAAAGGAGCUUGAUGUUGAUGUUGAGGUAUAUUGGUGGCAGUUAUGUUCACCAUUUGCCCCGAGUUUGCAAAGUGGUGAGGAAUAACCUCUAGCAAGAGUAGCAGAGGGAACACAAGAGGAGUAUCAUCGAGAGAUCAUGGAUUCGAUGCUGAGAAACAAGUUUGUAAAUAGCUACACAACACAGUAUCUGCAGGAUGCACGCCUUUGGUUGUGUCCCUGCUGGGAGCAGGUGAGUUGUGUGCAGCUGUGUGUUUGAGAGGGGAUAUAAUCUUUCCAGUGUUGCGCAGAACCUUGUAAUAUGUAUACUACUAUAAAAGAAUAAUUACAACUAACUCAUUCUUUGGGGUGAGCUGUGAGGACAGAAGGGUGUGUUGCAGGUGUGCAGGCAGGGGUCUGCUGUGUUCCACAUUCUUCUCGAGCUGAAACUAUCUGGCCUUCAGCCACCUGCUCUGAAAUGGAGCCCUUGGCUGGCCUUUGCACAGGAGGAACCACUGACUGGGUCAGGACAACCAAUCUCCACACUGGUCUUUUUUUUUUUUUUUUUUUUUUUUUUUUUUUUUUUUUUUUAUUGCUCCUGCGGCAUAUGGAGGUUCCCAGGCCAGGGGUCUAAUCAGAGCCGGCCUACACCAGCACCACAGCAACGCGGGAUCCGAGCCAUGUCUGUGACCUACACCACAGCUCACGGCAAUGUGGGAUCCUUAACCCACUGAGCAAGGCCAGGGAUCGAACCCACAACCUCAUGGUUCCUAGUCGGAUUCGUUAACAACUGUGCCAAAAUGGGAACUCCCUCCACACUGGUCUUAACAUAGGCUGGGAUGAAAAAAAUGACCUCAAUAAAUAGAUUUUCUUUCUUAGAAAUCUGAACUGAAUGUACAAAAAGAAUUUGCUACUAGGAAGUAGAAGGUGUGAGGAGGUAGCUGAGUCACAUUGAUGUCUGGGUGCUAGUAAAUGCAGACAAUCCUUCCUUCCUGGAGCUAUGAGGCCAUGAUGGCUCGUGUUUCUGGAUAUGCAUUUGUGAUGCUUGGCUUUGUGUCACCUUGGCUGGGCUGUAACACCCAGUUAUUUUCAAAUUCUAAUCUAGGUUUGUUAUGAAGGUAUUUUGUAGAUGUGGUUAAAAUCUACAAUCAGCUGAAUUUAAGUUAAGAGGAUUCCCCUCAAAUAAUGUGGUUGGGGAGUUCUCACCAUGGCGCAGUGGGUUAAAUAUCUGUCUUCAGUGGCUUGGGUUGCUACAAAGGUGCGGGUUUGAUCCCCAGCCGUACACAGUGGGUUAAAGUACCCAUUGUUGCCACAGUUGCAUCGUAGACUGUAGCUGUGGCUCAGAUUCAAUCCCUGGCCCAGGAAUUUCCAUAUGCUGUGGGUGUGGCCUAAAAAAAAAAUAACGUCAUUGGGCCUCAUUCAUUGGGUUGAAGACAUUAAAAGCAAAAGUUGGGGUUUCUCAGAGAAGAAAUUCUGCUCAAGACAGCAGCAUGAACUCCUGCGACUAUUGGAGAACACUGACUGAUACCCCAUGAGAGUCAGUCUUCUUCAUCACUCCAUGGCACUUGCAUCAAAGAGCUCUUCUCUCUGACUUUGUUCCUUAAAAUCAAAAGAACCUAGACAGAAAACUCAGCAGUAUCCAAUACUUUUGUGAGAUUGUGGUUCAUAGUAGUGGGAGGCAGUGAUGCAGUCUAUAGUGAAUGCUUGGUAUACAUAUGGAUUCUCAGGUUCUCCAAGUACUUUCAGGUUCCUCCAAGCCUCCAGGAAUUGGGAAGCACAGGUUGACCUAUGAUGUCCUAGGCAUGGAGUAUCAUUAGCUGCCUUUGCCCUGCACACCAGCACAGUAUGAAACAGAUACAAGGUUCUAGGAAGCAAUCCUAUUCUUCCAGAUUUAAUUAGUGCAGCCUGCUUGAUCUUGUUGGGAGAAUGAGCAGCCCAACCUAUGGUAGAGCAGACAGGGACUUUAGAAUACAAUAGGUAGGUCCCCAAAGAUACUCCCAUUCUGAAUUCUCCCUUAUACCUCUCCCUUAUAUCUCCACUGGAGAUAUGCCUCUGCCUUCCUGUAUAAACCUCAAACUCAUCCCUUCAACUCUACUCCACCCUGUAGGUACCUGCGCUGCCUGGAUCAGCCCUUUAUUGCACAUGGCUUAUUCUCUGAUUUAAAAAAAUCAUACACAAAAUGUAGGAAAAAAUGAUCACUGAUGGCUGGCAGGCUGAAGGAAGAGAAGGCAAGGCAUGGGCUCCUACUCUGGGUGGGAUCAAGCCCUAGGCACUAGAAUCCUUUGGGAAGAGGAUUAGAGGUAGAUGUUGGGGUGAUGGGAGCAAGAGCCAUCAGAAAAGGAGGGCCCAGGAAGACAAAUUUUACCUAUUUUAUUUCCCUCUUCAGGCUUUGAAGAAGCCAGCACAGAGUUUCAUGCUCAAUUACAAUAAUCAUAUUGAUUGUAAUGAUUGGCAUUCUUCUCCUUAUUGGCCUUUUCUCCUUAUUGCUUAUAUUAAUCCUUUACAAAAAGGCUUUAUUAGUCAUUUUAAGAAACAAAUACAUUGAGAAACUUGCUGUUUUGUAAGGGAGAUAUGACAGCCUGCAGUGGUAGGAAAGAGUCCAGUUUUGGAGUUGGACUCACUUGUAUUUCACUUUAGGCUCUGUCACUGGUUGUGAGACAUCGGUCAAUUUACUUAACCUCUAUGAACUUGUUUCUUCAUCUAUAAAACUGUGAUAAUAAUACCUACCCCGCAGGAACUUUAUUCAGACUCAUGGUGGGUAUAUGCAGAGGGCUUCAUGUGAUGUCUGGAAGCUCUGUCACACUGCCUCACACUCUGGAAUAAUGGCAGAGGAGUAAGGAGCCCAUACAAUGUUGCAGGUGAUGCACUAAACACGUUAGCUCAUUUGACACAGAACCAGGUCCUCUUGGCCUUCAUUAUCCCUGCCACUCUCCCCACCUAGGCCUGCGUCAUUUCUAAGAAAGGAUUGCUGUGAGGGAAGCAGAAUACAGGACUAACUCCUCUCCUUAAGAAUUAAUGACCUGCAGUUGAUUUCUAGUUUCAUGCCAUUGUGGUCAGAGAAGAUACUUGAAAUAACCACAGGAAAAGAAAUGAGAAAAAACUUACUGCAUGGAGACUAAACAACAUGCGGUUGAAAAACCAAUGAGUCAAUGAGGAAAUCAAGAAGAAAAUUAAAAAAUACCUUGAGACAAAUGAUAAUGAAGACACAACCACUCAAAAUCUAUGGGAUGCUGCAAAAGCAGUGCUUAGAGGGAAAUUCAUGGCAAUACAGGCCUUCCUCAAAAAAGAAGAAAAUUCUCAAAUGGACAAUUUAACCCAACACCUAAAUGAAUUAGAAAAAGAAGAACAAACAAAACCUAAAGUCAGCAGAAGGAAGGAAAUCAUAAAGAUCAAAGAGGAAAUCAAUAAAAUAGAGAUUAAAAAAAAUAGAAAAAAAUCAAUAAAACCAAGAUCUGGUUCUUUAAAAAGGUAAACUAAAUUGACAAACCUCUGGCUAGACUCACCAAGAAGUGAAGAGAAAAAACCCAAAUAAACAAAAUAAGAAAUGAAAAAGGAGAGGUUACAACAGAUACUACAGAAAUAAAAAAAAAAAA
ensembl:lncRNA